rnacentral:rRNA from 1 species
GACAGAGGGUGCAAACGUUGUUCGGAAUUACUGGGCGUAAAGCGCGUGUAGGCGGCCCAGCAAGUCGGAUGUGAAAGCCCUGGGCUUAACCUAGGAAGUGCAUUCGAAACUGCUGGGCUUGAGUUCUGGAGAGGAAGGCGGAAUUCUCGGUGUAGAGGUGAAAUUCGUAGAUAUCGAGAGGAACACCGGUGGCGAAGGCGGCCUUCUGGACAGUGACGUGACGCUGAGACGCGAAAGCGUGGGGAGCAAACAGG